UAGCAAUACACUUGUAAAGCGGCGAACGGGUGAGGAAUACAUGGGUAAUCUACCAUCGAGUGGGGAAUAACCAGCCGAAAGGUUGGCUAAUACCGCGUACGCCUCCGAAUCUUCGGGUACGGAGGGAAAGCCGCACUGUGAGUGCGGCGCUCUUUGAUGAGCUCAUGUCCUAUCAGCUUGUUGGUAGGGUAACGGCCUACCAAGGCUUUGACGGGUAGCUGGUCUGAGAGGACGAUCAGCCACACUGGCACUGCGACACGGGCCAGACUCCUACGGGAGGCAGCAGUAAGGAAUAUUGCGCAAUGGGCGAAAGCCUGACGCAGCGACGCCGCGUGGGGGAUGAAGGUCUUCGGAUUGUAAACCCCUUUCGGGAGGGAAGAUGGGACGAGCAAUCGUUCGGACGGUACCUCCAGAAGCAGCCACGGCCAACUUCGUGCCAGCAGCCGCGGUAAUACGAAGGUGGCAAGCGUUGUUCGGAUUCACUGGGCGUACAGGGUGUGUAGGCGGUUUGGUAAGCCUUCUGUUAAAGCUUCGGGCCCAACCCGGAAAGCGCAGAGGGUACUGCCAGGCUAGAGGGUGGGAGAGGAGCGCGGAAUUCCCGGUGUAGCGGUGAAAUGCGUAGAGAUCGGGAGGAAGGCCGGUGGCGAAGGCGGCGCUCUGGAACAUACCUGACGCUGAGACACGAAAGCGUGGGGAGCAAACAGGAUUAGAUACCCUGGUAGUCCACGCCCUAAACUAUGGAUACUA
rnacentral:rRNA from 1 species